rnacentral:rRNA from 1 species
GGUGAGUAACACGUGGGCAACCUGCCUGUAAGACGGGGAUAACUCCGGGAAACCGGGGCUAAUACCGGAUGAUUCUUCUCUGCACAUGCAGGGAAGCUAAAAGAUGGUUUACGCUAUCGCUUACAGAUGGGCCCGCGGCGCAUUAGCUAGUUGGUGAGGUAACGGCUCACCAAGGCGACGAUGCGUAGCCGACCUGAGAGGGUGAUCGGCCACACUGGGACUGAGACACGGCCCAGACUCCUACGGGAGGCAGCAGUAGGGAAUCUUCCACAAUGGACGAAAGUCUGAUGGAGCAACGCCGCGUGAGCGAUGAAGGCCUUCGGGUCGUAAAGCUCUGUUGUUAGGGAAGAACAAGUACCGGAGUAACUGCCGGUACCUUGACGGUACCUAACCAGAAAGCCACGGCUAACUACGUGCCAGCAGCCGCGGUAAUACGUAGGUGGCAAGCGUUGUCCAGAAUUAUUGGGCGUAAAGCGCGCGCAGGCGGUCCUUUAAGUCUGAUGUGAAAGCCCCCGGCUCANCCGGGGAGGGUCAUUGNANACUGGAGGACUUGAGUGCAGAAGANGAAAGCGGAAUUCCACGUGUAGCGGUGAAAUGCGUAGAGAUGUGGAGGAACACCAGUGGCGAAGGCGGCUUUCUGGUCUGUAACUGACGCUGANGCGCGAAAGCGUGGGGAGCAAACAGGAUUANAUACCCUGGUAGUCCACGCC